AACUAAAAUAAUAAUUAAAUCUUAACUCUAUCAUAAAAAUAAAUUUUUAUGCUAGUCAUUUUACUUAAUAAUUUAUUAAUGUAAAAAUUAAUAAUCUAUUAUUUUUAUUUAAUGUAAAUCAUUUUCUUAUAUAUCAGAGGAAGAAGUAUACACAUAGAAUGAAGCUAAGAAAAUAAAAAAAUUAAAAGAAAACAUAAAUAAAUAGUCUAAGAAGUACUCCAUCGAAUAAGGGUAAGAUAGUAAGUAUAAGCUAUUCAUUGGCUAUAAAAUGAUCUGGAGUCCAAAUUAGGUUUCCAAAUGCCUUGAAAGAACCGGGCGUAGCAGCUAACAUUUGCGUCUGAGUUCCGUUGCGGUCAUACAACAAAUCUUCAAUUCCUUUUCUCUAUUCUUCUGCAACAAUUUAUAGCUUUGAAAGGAUUUGUAUAAUUUUCUAUUUGUUUAUUUCUUUGAUAAUUUAUUUUCGGCCGAUCCAAUAGGUUCUCUGUAAAUUCUGUUAUGAGAUCUCUAUUUCACCCG
rnacentral:lncRNA from 1 species